UAUUUAAAUAAUAGUGCUUCCCAAACAAGAAAUUUUGUAAUCGCUUAAAUAUAAGUCAUCAAUACGAAACGACAACGCUUUUGAGUUUGUGUAGUAUAGUUUUGUUGUAAGCAAGUACACAAUGAGUCACAAAAGCGUCUUCCGGACAACAAUUUUCUUAUAUUUUACAUUCUACAGCUUAACUUCAGUAUCUGCGGCAAUUGAAUGUUAUCAGUGUUCAACUGCAACAACCCCUGAGUGCGCUGAGCUAAGCAAGAAUGGAAUAGAUACAUGUAAAACAACCGCCGCUUCCGACAUUAACUGUGUUAUGUAUAUGUUUAAAUUAAACGGAAAAAACUUCACUUAUCGGGGAUGUAGACAAAAAAGUGACACUUGUGACGAUGUGAAGGCAUCAUUAGAAGCAGAAAACAAAGAAUUCGUAGACUGUGCGUUGUGUGACACCGACCUUUGUAAAGCUGCAAGCACAACGUUUUCGAUUAACCUAGCACUAAUUCUAUUAUUUAUAAGUUUCCCAGUUAUAUUAAAGUGAUCUUGUUAGUAA